rnacentral:tRNA from 1 species
CGGGGCGUAGCGCAGUCUGGUAGCGCGCCUGCUUUGGGAGCAGGAUGUCGGGAGUUCGAAUCUCUUCGCCCCGA